GAAGAGUUAUGAUUUUUCAAAGAUUCAACUGAAAUAAAUUAGAAAAGGAAAAAACAAAACAGGGUACUGUAGCAAUCCCGGGGUUACUGUAGCAAUCCUGGCCGCACAGUGCCAUGCAAAACCGGGCUGGACCUAGGGUGAACGGUUUCGCAAGCUCGAGGGGCUAGAUGUCCGGUUUCUAAGUUCAUGGAUCUAUUUGACACAGCGCUGCAAGUUCAGGUGACCACGGUGCAUUUUACUCGAGAAACAUUAUCACGUGACUCACAUUAUUGCUUGCUGCAUUCGAGGUAUGGGCUUGUGCCUUCCGGUCAUUCGGCCGUGACGUUGGCUACAGUUCGUAGUACUCCGUUUCUUGGUCUGGGUUUCUCGUUUCAUCGGUGCCGUGCGCUUCUUCGUCUGGGUUUAUUGGAUCCAUCCGAUGGUAAAAGAAAUACAUGCGAUAUUGUAGUUUCAGCAAGAUUUCUACUUUUGAUUGCAUGACAAAUAGGUCAGGUGGCCUGAAUGUCUUCCCUUCUGGCGAGUUUUCAAUUUGAUUCUCCUUUUUAACCUGGAGAGUAUUCCAUCUUAAUCCUCAUUUGUUUAGGCUUAAUAAGGUCUUGUGCUUAACAUGAUAACCUGACAGACCUCAUAGAAGCUUUAUUUUAUCUGAAACGACGGCAUAUCACCUGUUUAAUUAGAUCCUUACGAAUGGAUUGCAUCUCUCUUUGAGCACGGCCUGUAUUUGGUUGGUUACACUAUAAAUUAUUUAUGCAAGGUGUGGUUGAUAGGUGUUUCAUUUAAUAGUAAAUCUUCAUGCUAUGCUGAAAUUGGUACGCAUGGCCCAGCCAAGUUCCAACCUACUUUAAAUACACAAAACAUUUCUCCACAUCACAAAUCAGUCCGGCAAUCUGUUCUUAUAAAAGUUAAAAAUAGUACCAUUCACGGGAAAACAUAAAACCUGGUGCAUGCGUACGUACUCCCUUUCUAUCAUUUCAAGAUUUUUAUUUUUACCAUGAUCGGGGGCAUUUAUUUCCUUUGCUUUUCUCCAAUAAACAGUACUGUACAUAUUCUGAGCAUAUGUCACUUCUGGAGUUACCAUAUAUUGCUUCAGAUCAGAUCACCACAGUCAUGCUUUCCUUUUAUUUGUCACUGAUGGAUUUGGAGGUUACAAAGAUAAUCGAACUAUGUAUAUGAAUUUUUCAAGUCAAUUAUUGUUAAGUCCAGUUCUGUUUCAGUUUCCUCGUUUCCUUGAUGAUUAAUAAGAAUCUGAAAAAUUGCUAGGAGCUCAUAAAUAUCUAUAUUCAGGGACAAACUUUGAAAAGACAAAACUAGCUAUAUUUUGAGCAGAGGUAGAACAAAUCUUGCUCAUUAGAAUAUUAAAAUCUGGAAUUAUAUACCUCUUUUGACCUUGCACCUACAUGUGACAUGCCAUGUCUAUCCUCUACCUUCUGCAUUUCGGCAUCAAGGGACACUAACCACACAGCAAACCAACAUUAUAUUCGAGAGCAUUAAGCAUCUCUGGUGGCACCUCCAUUUUGCGGCUUCGUGAUCUUCUGGUCUGGGGGUAGUUGAGAUUGGUUUGUUCUAGCAAAUGACUACAUUUCUAGAGUGUGUUUAGCACCAAACACUAAAAAUUCGUGUCUCUGUGGUAAACUUCACACUCUAAAGUGUCUAAGAGCACAGUUUGCCUAAAGUCAUAGAUCAUUAGAGUCAUGUAGUCUGCAAGGUUACUCUUUAGGUCGAGCUAUCUUGUAUACUAGUUGAGAUUUUCGUUUAGACAAUGUCCACGUCAAAAACAAUCCAAUCAUGUUUGAUCUAUCAAAAUAUAACAUAUUGAAAAUAGAGAAUUGCAAAAUUUUGCUUGAAUCAAGCAUGUGAUAAUAACACUAUUUUCCUUACAAGAAUACUUAUUGUUCCAUUCAUAGUUUUUAAAUACUAUGAGUUUUGCAGUAUGAGGUGAAGUACUAUUGAUAAUUCCAAAAUUUUUACCUGACGUGCAUGAUAAUUUGGUGAUAGAUAUUUUAAGCAAAACGUUUGCAUUCAUAAUGCAUACAUGCUUCAAGAUUCAAGGGAGAUGCUCAUAUCCGCGCAUUUACAUUUUCUUAUAUGAGUUUCAAAAUAAAGAUUCAUAAUAAAAGAAAAUUCACAACACAAUUAGAAAAAAACAAUCAUAAUAAAAGAAAAAUCACAACACAAUUAUUCACAACACAAUUAGAAAAAACAAUCAUAAUAAAUGAAAAUUCACAACACAAUUAGAAAAACAAUGUUGUAUCAUUUUCCAACUAUACGACAUCUUUUUUUUUUGGGAACUCCAACUAUACGACAUCAUGGAUAUCUCGAUGAUCAUAGAUGGAAUAUAUCUUCUAUGUUAGUGUCCAGAUCAAAAUAUAUUAUAUAAGGGUAACUUAAGCUUAUUUGAAACAACAUUAUAUCACCACUACAACUAGCAUAGCCUUCAUAGAGUGUAAAAGUAUUUAGGAUGUCUGAAUGCCAAGGGUCAGUAAAACCUUACUUGAUAAUUAAUAUAGAGGUGAAAGCAUAUAGCAUUAGGGACUGUGAUGUUCUAAGAUGCGCUAAUAGAGGCAUGAAAAAUUAGAGAUUCCCAAAACUAAUUUGCUCAAUACAAUUAACAGUUUAAAUAAAUUGCCACCAGCACGUGCUAGUUUUUUCUACCAUUUCUACUGUAUCACAACAAAGUUAUGACCAGGUUUGAGUAAUACAAACCUUAUAAUAUGGAAGGGAAAUUGUGUAACAAGUGACAAUAUAAAGGGUAGAGAGAACACAAAUUCGCUGCAAAAUCUUUCUCUAGAUAUUGGAUAGCUCUCUGCUAGUUCUUAAGCUAUCUCUACUACCAAGGUCAAGUCUACGAGUGUAAUAUUUUGCUACUCUAGCGCAUGACACUCUUGUCACUGUAGAAUAAUAGGAUUGUGUAUAAUGUGUGGAUUGAUUGUAUUGCAUUGAGUUCUAGGCUGGUAUAUAUUGGGUUACAUGACUUGAGGGCAAGCCUCUCCUACGGUAUGGUAGAGUCCGGAUACAAUCCUAACUUACAUAUUAUAGAGAUACCUCAAAUAUACUCUAAUAGUCACUCCCAAAGCAUUUGUCCAUUGCAUAGAGAGUCCUGCAAGACCUAUCUUCGUCUAGCUAUUUAGAUAAACAAGGACGAAUUUUAUCAUCUCACAUAGUUGGCAAUGAACCUAAGUUUUGUGUAGCUACAACCCCUUAGAGCACCACAUCUUAGAAAGGCCUGACGGAUGGGGUAUAUGUCAGCCCAAUCCAAGAUUAUUUGUCGUGCUUGGAUUAUAGAGAAACUCCGCUCGUUGAAAUGUAUGGUGUCAUACUAGUCUGAGUUCCAAGUGUCAUAAAACUAGCCAUUGGGAAUUUGGGACUAUCAUUGCACCCACCUAAUGGUUUGCUGAACCCACUAAUGGUUCAUUGGACCUACUAGAUUGUCUGGUCAAGGGAUGGAUAUGGAUGUCUACAAAUCCGAAUUUUCCAUACACGUAGUCGCUAAAGACGCCAAUAUGGAUAUUCAUAUUUGUAUCUAUUUUUAAUAUGGAUACUAUAAUUUAUGUAUCCAAAUAUGAUUUUUAAUUUUUUUAUCCUAUUUCAUAUCCAUAUUCGAAAUAAAUGUGGAAUAUGGAUCAUGUCCAUAUCCGCAAAAAAAACCUAGUGAAACCAUCUUAAAUUUAUCUCCAUCACUAAUUACUUAAUGAUGUGCACCAAUUAAACUAUUUAAAUGCUAUCCAUAUGAUAAAUGACUAAAAAUGUUAACUCUAAUAUUACAAAUGAUAUAAAAAAUUAAGUAUGAUUAUAUUAAUUCAUUAUUAAUGAAGAAAUUAUUUCAUAUGUGUUAGGAAAUAGGUUUAUUCCUGUUUUAGCUUAUGUGAACCCGAUCAUCUCCUAACUGUGGGGCUAGUUUCCGGAUCCAACACGCCUCCUUGGCAGGCCAUUGUGCCGUGAUCUCAGGACCUCAUGCCUAGCUUCCCGUGAUUCCAUCCUCGUUCUGUUGCUAUAAGCUAGGAAGGUUGUCACGUGGCUUAGCCGAUAUAUGUAAUUGCCUAUCCCUUUUGCAAUGCUAUCCACAUAUUCUGCGUGAUUAUUUUCUCUAUCAUGGUAUCAUAGACCGUCACAAUAUGUGACCUAGCUUCCUCUUACCCCACCUGCCGCCGCCGCCAUGGCGCCUCCACCGCCCAAGCCCACCGACCCACUAGAUCCUGCUGCCGCCGUUCAUGCCAAGGACGCGGAGACUGCCAAGGAUCGUGAGGCUCAUGAAGCUGCGGAGAAGAAGGCCGCUGAGGAGCGCCAGGCCCUUUCUACCGCCACCGAAGCUGCGGAGAAGGCCGCUGCAGACGCACCGGCUCGCGUCCGGGAGGCCAUCGCUGCUCUCGAGCGUGAGCACACUGCUGCCCUCGAGGCCGAGCGCUCGGCCGCCGUCGCCAGGCUCCUUGUCAACCCUCCCAAGGCCGACCGUGAUGCCGGCGGCGCCGAUCCAGAUGCUCUUUUCGAGGCCGCCACUAUUGCCAACCUCCACGCCCAGGCGGCCUCGGUUCAAAACAUCCAUGCCCUCAUGCUAGUUGUUUUGGAUCCCUUGUCCUCCCACUAAAAUCUCUAGCAUGACCUCAUGCUCCUUGCAUCAGAGCGCUACUCUCUUGACGAUCACGUCCUCCUCGACAACAUCUUCACUGCCCCGGCAUGGCGCCGCAUGGACGCCGUUGUGUGCUCCUGGCUGUUUGGCACCUUGUCGGCCGAACUGAUGGAGACCGUCCGCAUUCGCGAUGACACGGCGUGGCUCACCUGGCUGCGCAUCGAGCAGUAGUUCCAGGGGAACCACGAGACCCGGGCUCUUCGCCUCGAUGCUGAGUUCCGCCUCUUCGAGCAAGGCGAUCUUUCCAUCACCGGUUACUGCCGAAAGAUGAAGGGCAUGGCCGACGAUCUGGGUGACCUUGGUGAGGUCAUCCAAGACUGGACCCUUGUCCUGAACAUCCUACGUGGCCUCAACGAGCAGUACAGCCACAUGGCAGCCCUCCUGAAGCGCUCUCGGCCGUUCCCCACGUUCGACGAGGUUCGGAAUGAUCUCCUCCUUGAAGAGCUCACCAUCACCAAGACACGGCCAUCCUCCACACCCUCCACGGCACUAGCCUCCGCGACGCCUAAACCUGCGCCUCCCUCUCAGCCGGCUGCUCCCGCCGGUGCUCAGGGCGCCCCUUCCGGCAACAGUGGCAAGUCCAGGAAUCGGCGCAAGGGCGGCAACAAGGGCGGCACUCCGUGGCCGUCCUUCUACAAUCCAUUGACCGGCAUCAUCACCAUGUGGCCUGGUCCCAAUGGACAGCAGCAGAAAGGUGGAGCCGGCUCCCAGCAGCAGCGAUCUCAGCCGCAGCAGGUGCCUCCCUCUGGGUACAACGCCCAACAGCAGGCACUCCUUGCUGCUGCUGCUCCCUACGGUGCUCCCCUGAUGUACUCCGGCUACCCCAGCUUCCCCGUCAACCCUCCAACGCAACUACAGCAGCAGCUACACUCGCAACAGAUGUAGCUACCUGCUCCACAGCAGCUGCAGCUACCUGCUCCGCCUCCAGUGCAGCAGCAGCAUCCGGCCCCGGCCACGCUCUCCUGGAGUCCUGGGGGCGGCUCCUUGACUCUCAAUCAGCCAGGCACGACUGAUUGGGUCAUGGACUCAGGUGCUUCAAAUCACAUGACGCUAGACACCGGUAACAUUUCCUUGUUCCGCCCAUCACGUUCAUCUUAUCCUUCAUCUAUCGUUGUUGGCAAUGGGUCUGUUCUCCCAGUCUCAUCAGUUGGUCAUUCUGUUCUGCUCGGUCCUUUAUACCUUAAUAAUAUUCUUGUUGCCCCUAUUAUUAUUAAGAGCCUUAUUUCCUUCAGAUAGUUCACCACUGAUAAUCACUUCAUUCCAGGAAUGUGAUCGCCAGGUGCAAUAGCUCGGGUCCCCUCUACUAUAUGCACCUUCCGGAGCCUAACCAGCCACCAUCUUCUGCCUUUGUCGCCACUGCACCUGCUGCUCCUACCGACUUGUGGCAUCGUCGGCUCGGCCACCCCGGUCAUGGGGCGCUUUCCAAGCUUGCCAGCUCGUCUAGCAUCUUAUGUAACAGGGGCGUUUUCGAGUCUGUCUGUCAUGCAUGUCAGCUGGGUCGCCACACUCAUUUGCCCUUUGCUAGUUCUACGUCUCGUGCCCUUAAAAAUUUAGAUUUAAUUCAUUGUGAUAUGUGGACA